rnacentral:rRNA from 1 species
CAGCCGCCGCGGGAAUACGAGGGGGGCAAGCGUUGUUCGGAAUUAUUGGGCGUAAAGGGUGCGUAGGCGGUCUGACAAGUCUGAUGUGAAAUCUAUGGGCUCAACCCAUAGUCUGCAUCGGAAACUGUCGGGCUUGAGUAUGGUAGAGGGUGGUGGAAUUUCCUGUGUAGCGGUGAAAUGCGUAGAUAUAGGAAGGAACACCAGUGGCGAAGGCGACCACCUGGACUGAUACUGACACUGAGGUGCGAAAGCGUGGGGAGCAAACAGGAUUAGAUACCCCUGUAGUCCCUGUCUCUUAUAC